rnacentral:rRNA from 1 species
GAUGAACGCUGGCGGCGUGCCUAAUACAUGCAAGUCGAGCGAACGGACGAGAAGCUUGCUUCUCUGAUGUUAGCGGCGGACGGGUGAGUAACACGUGGCUAACCUACCUAUAAGACUGGGAUAACUUCGGGAAACCGGAGCUAAUACCGGCUAAUAUUUUGAACCGCAUGGUUCAAAAGUGAAAGACGGUCUUGCUGUCACUUAUCGAUGGAUCCGCGCUGCAUUAGCUAGUUGGUAAGGUGACGGCUUACCAAGGCAACGAUGCAUAGCCGACCUGCGAGGGUGAUCGGCCACACUGGAACUGAGACACGGUCCAGACUCCUACGGGAGGCAGCAGUAGGGAAUCUUCCGCAAUGGGCGAAAGCCUGACGGAGCAACGCCGCGUGAGUGAUGAAGGUCUUCGGAUCGUAAAACUCUGUUAUUAGGGAAGAACAUAUGUGUAAGUAACUGUGCACAUCUUGACGGUACCUAAUCAGAAAGCCACGGCUAACUACGUG